CGCGGUAAUUCCAGCUCCAAUAGCGUAUAUUAAAGUUGUUGCAGUUAAAAAGCUCGUAGUCGAAUUUCUGGUGGGAGAAUGUGGUCCAACACAGUUGGUACUGGCAGUCUCCGGCCAUCCUUGGGUUUAGCCAUUCUGGCAUUAGGUUGUCGGGGCGGGGAUGCCCAUCGUUUACUGUGAAAAAAUUAGAGUGUUCAAAGCAGACUUAUGUCGUUGAAUAUAUUAGCAUGGAAUAAUAAGAUAGGACUACAGUGCUAUUUUGUUGGUUUGCGCACCGUGGUAAUGAUGAAUAGGGACAGUUGUGGGUAUUCGUAUUCACUUGUAAGAGGUGAAAUUCUUAGAUUAAGGGAAGACGAACUACUGCGAAAGCAUUUACCAAGGAUGUUUUCAUUGAUCAAGAACGAAAGUGUGGGGAUCGAAGAUGAUUAGAUACCGUCGUAGUCUACACCAUAAACUAUGCCGACUCAGGAUGGGCGGGUGUCUCUUGACCUCGUCUGCACUGUAUGUGAAAACAAAGUCUUUGGGUUCCGGGGGGAGUAUGGUCGCAAGGCUGAAACUUAAAGAAAUUGACGG
rnacentral:rRNA from 1 species